rnacentral:ribozyme from 1 species
CUUUGGUAGGAGACAUGGUCGGCCACGGUGUUGGCUCGCUCGAGGGCGAAAGCGUUGGGAUCAUGGUCGGUCGCGCCGUCGGAGAUAGGGUUGGUACCAUGGUGCUUGGGGAAGUAGUAGGUGU